UGUAGUCAUGCACAAUCUUGGA
rnacentral:siRNA from 1 species